rnacentral:lncRNA from 1 species
AUGCUGAGUGACUUAUGUAGAUCUUUUAUGAUUGUAAAUCAGAUUACCUCCUUAUGUUUGUACAAACCCUUUUCCAGAAUGCUUUCGCAUAUAGUUUUCUCUCUUGAUUUUUCACAGUUUGCGAAGAAUCAUCACCUCCCUGUUAAAGGUGAAGAAAGUGACAUGGGACAUGAUGUGACUGGCCAACGAAUCAUCGUAAGUGAUGUGGCCUCUGGAAGGGGCAGUUCUGUCAGACGGCAGUCUGUCCCCGAUGUUGGCAGAAGGCUGACAGGUCUGGCUGCAGGAGACCCUGAGUACUUACUGCUGUCCAUCAAGCAAGGGAAAGGACCACCUCACAUGUCCAAACGGGGCUGGAUGUUGUCAAAUUCCUCGCAGCUGUUCUCCUUUUCUCCAGCCUGGCGACAGGUGUCCCGACAGAGCCCAGUUACCAAAGGCAGUCACCGACUGCUUGCGCGCCUUCCAGAGGAGCUCGUGUUCCAGCAUCAAAGACUGAAGCUUGUGCAUUGAGAUUGAGGACACCACAAAAGAACGCUGCGGGGCGUACAGCCACAAACUUGACAUUUCUAGCUCCAGAUCUGCACAGGCAAUGGCUGUGCUGCAGGGACUGUCCCCUGUGCCUACUCCCUGGUCAUCUGAGUGGAUCUGUAUUGCUGUUUGGAAAUAUCAGCCUCUGUUGCACAUCUUCCAACCAGCUGGCCGGAGUGGGAGGUGGAGCCCCUUGCUAUGAAACAGAGCUUUACUUUGCUGAUAACAUGUGUCCGUAAUGUAUUGAAGGUAACUUAGAAAUGCUGUGAGCCCAAACUUCAUUUUAUGGAGGAAAAUAACAGGCUCAGAGACGUGGAGUGUCACGCUCGGGGUCACCCAGCAGCCCUGCCUUGUCCUAUGCAGUAGCCACUCCCCUCCUGUGCCCAUGAAGCCCUUGGAAUGGGGCCAGUGUGACCGGAGUGUGCUUUCAGUGUAAAUACACACAGGAUUUCAUUGACUCCGUAGGAACAUAAGUAUCUCAUUGAUAUUUUUUACAUUGAUUAUAUGUUGAAAUGAUGACAUUUUGGAAACUUUUGGCUAAAUUAAAUGUAUUAUCAAAAAUAAGAUCACCUGUGUCUUCUUUUGCCUUGUUCACGUGGCUGUUAGAAACUAUAACAUAACAGACGUGGCUUGCAUUAUGUUUCUACCCGACGGCAUUCUUCUAAAGCUUGGAUUAGAACACAGGUUUCUUGCCAUUCAUGCUAACCCA